rnacentral:rRNA from 1 species
UACGUAGGGUGCGAGCGUUAAUCGGAAUUACUGGGCGUAAAGCGUGCGCAGGCGGCUUUGCAAGACAGAUGUGAAAUCCCCGGGCUCAACCUGGGAACUGCAUUUGUGACUGCAAGGCUAGAGUACGGCAGAGGGGGAUGGAAUUCCGCGUGUAGCAGUGAAAUGCGUAGAUAUGCGGAGGAACACCAAUGGCGAAGGCAAUCCCCUGGGCCUGUACUGACGCUGAUGCACGAAAGCG